rnacentral:rRNA from 1 species
UACGAAGGGGGCUAGCGUUGCUCGGAAUCACUGGGCGUAAGCGCACGGUGGGUGGUCGGCAAGGCGGGGGGGAAAUCCUGGAGCUCAACUCCAGAACUGCCUUCGAUACUGGCGAUCUUUGGGUCCGGGAGAGGUGGGUGGAACUGCGAGUGUAGAGGUGAAAUUCGUAGAUAUUCGCAAGAACACCAGUGGCGAAGGCGGCUCACUGGCCCGGUACUGACACUGAGGUGCGAAAGCGUGGGGAGCAAACAGG